rnacentral:rRNA from 1 species
UGGUGACGAUAGCGAAGAGGUCACACCUGUUCCCAUGCCGAACACAGAAGUUAAGUUCUUCAGCGCCGAUGGUAGUUGGGGGCUUCCCCCUGCGAGAGUAGGACGUUGCCA